rnacentral:rRNA from 1 species
GAUGAACGCUGGCGGCGUGCCUAAUACAUGCAAGUCGAGCGAACAGACGAGGAGCUUGCUCCUCUGCCGUUAGCGGCGGACGGGUGAGUAACACGUGGAUAACCUACCUAUAAGACUGGGGUAUCUUCGGGAACCCGGAGCUAAUACCGGAUAAUAUAUUGAACCGCAUUGUUCAAUAGUGAAAGACGGUUUUGCUGUCACGUCUAGUUGGAUCCGCGCCGCAUUAGCUAGUUGGUAAGGUAACGCCUUACCAAGGCAACGAUGCGUAUCAGACAUGAGAGGGUGGUCGGCCACACUGGAACUGAGACACGCCCCAGUCUGAUACGGGAGGCAGCAGUAGGGAAUCUGCCGCAAGGGGCGAAAGCCAUACGGAGUAACGCCGCGUGAGUGAUGAAGAUCUUCGGAUCGGAAAACUCUGUUAUUAGGGAAGAACACAUGUUUAAGUGACUAUGCACGUCUUGACGGUACCCGAUAAGAAAGCCACGGCUAACUACGUG